AUAUCAAUAAGGCGAGGAACAGAAACCAACAGGGAUUGCCCCAGUAACGGCGAGUGAAGCGGCAAUGGCUCAAAUUUGAAAUCUGACUCCCUUGGGGGUCCGAAUUGUAAUUUGCAGAGGAAGCUUCGGUAAAGAUACAGGCCCAAGUCCCCUGGAACGGGACGUCACAGAGGGUGAGAACCCCGUCCGGCCAUGUAUCCGAACCAUGUGUUGCUCCUUCGACGAGUCGAGUUGUUUGGGAAUGCAGCUCAAAAUGGGUGGUAAAUUCCAUCUAAAGCUAAAUACUGGCCAGAGACCGAUAGCGCACAAGUA
rnacentral:rRNA from 1 species